AGGGAAGGAUCCCACAGAAAACCACGAGGCCCUAGAAGAAUUCAAGAAAUUCACAGAGGGGAAAGGCUUUCUACAGGAAAACAUCAUUGUUCCUAAGCAGAGAGAAAUGUGUGUCCCUGUAGAUCACAAAGCUGCCUCUCACAGAUGUAAAUCCUGAGCCAACUCUGCACCAAUGCAUAGCAAUGCCUUGGAGUACUCAUCUCCCUGGACCACGCAGCCAUGAGACACACCUUUCAAGACCAUCUCACGACCUGUCAGACCACACUCCUGCUAGGACCUUCUGCCCCACCCCAAACCCAAGUAAAGCCUUAA